AUGGGGUCACAGCAAGGCCCCUUGUCCCGGCGCCCUGGCCGCUGGCCCUUGGGGUCACAGCAGAGCCCCCUGUCCCCAAGGUCCCGGCUGCUGGCCCGUGGGGUCACGGCAAGGCCACUUGUCCCGUCGCCCUGGCCAUUGCCUAUGGGGUCACAGCAAGGUCCCUUGUCCCCUCGCCCCGGCCGCUGGCCUUUGGGGAUCACAGCAGAGCCCCAUCCUGUCGCCCCGGCCACUGGCCUGUGGGGUCACAAGCAGAGCCCCCUGUCCCCAAGGGCCCUGGCCGCUGGCCCUUGGGGUCAGGGCAAGGCCCAUUGUCCCAUCGCCCUGGCCGCUGGCCCUUGGGGUCACAGCAAGUCCCCCUGUCCCGGCGCCCUGGUCGCUGGCCCGUGGGGUCACAGCAAGGACACUUGUCCCGUCGCCCUGGCCAUUGCCUAUGGGGUCACAGCAAGGUCCCUUGUCCCCUCGCCCCGGCCGCUGGCCUUUGGGGAUCACAGCAGAGCCCCAUCCUGUCGCCCCGGCCACUGGCCUGUGGGGUCACAGCAGAGCCCCCUGUCCCCAAGGUCCCGGCUGCUGGCCCGUGGGGUCACAGCAAGGCCACUUGUCCCGUCGCCCUGGCCAUUGCCUAUGGGGUCACAGCAAGGCCCCUUGUCCCGGCGCCCUGGCCGCUGGCCCUUGGGGUCACAGCAGAGCCCCCUGUCCCCAAGGUCCCGGCUGCUGGCCCGUGGGGUCACAGCAGAGCCCCCUGUCCCGAGGGGCCCCGGGGAAGACUACGUGCAGCAGGAGGGGGGCCACGGGGGGCUGGGGGACCCUCCUCGAGCUCGGUGGCGCCCUCCCUCUGGGGGACACGGCGAGCCUGCGCCCAGCGGCCCCCUUCCCUCCGGGCCGGCCUGUGACCUCGGUUUCGACGCCCGCCCAAGUGACCUGCUGCCACCCGUGAGCCUGGAGGGCGCGUUCUGGCGCCUGCGACGAGGCCGGGGUAUUAAGAGCCGAGGUGGCGCGGGGCGGCGAGCAGCCGCGGGAAGGCGCCCUGGCGCGCCCCCCCCGCCAACCCCCCGGGCUGCAGGACCAGGACGCGCGCGCGCCCGCCCACCCCCGCGCGCCCCCGCCCGCCCCCGCGCGCCCCCGCCCGCCCCCGCGCGCCCCCGCGCGCCCCGCCUACCUUGGCCCUGCUCAGCAGCUCGGCCACCAGGCGGAUGGACUGCAGGUUGCGCUGCGCCAGCAGCAGCUUCCGCUCCUCCAGCCGGAUCUUCUCGUGCAGCUUCCGCUGCUCCUCCGCCUGCUGCUUCUCCAGCUUCUUCUGCUGGCGGCGCAGCUCGCGGUCCCGCUGCUUCUGCUCCCGGCGCCGCACCUUCUCCUCCCGCUUCCGCUCCCGCUCCAGCUCCUCCAGCUCCUUCUGCUUCCUGCACGGCAAGCGCGCGGCGCCGCUCAGCACGACGGACCGCGCGCCCCGGCUCUGCGCGCGGGGGGGGCGCCGGCGGGGAGGGGGCGGGGGCGGGGGCGGGCGCGACACGCGCUGUUCCAACGCGCGGGCCGCGGCGGGACCCGAGGAUCCGCGCAGGAGGCCCCCAGAGCCUCCGGAGGGAAGGUCUCGCUGGGGAACCGGACGCCGUGAAGGACGCGACCGAUGGGCGGGCCUCGCGACACGGAAACUGCUUCUCAACGACACACAGCAGCUGGGGGAGAGGCCGGCGCGCCGAGGACCCCCCUGCCGCAGCGGCAGGCAGGGCCACACCCCCGGGACCGCUGGCACGCGGCAGUGCUCACACACACACACACACACACAAACGGGCACAUACCGCAGGGACAACGGCCGCCCACGCCACGGACGAACAGAGGGCAGACGGGAGCCUCACGUGCGUCCGCGUGCUGCCCGGAGGGCCCGCCGCGCGCACAGCCCCGUGCUGGUGA
rnacentral:lncRNA from 1 species